GUCCCUGUAGCGCAGUGGAUAGCGCGUUGGACUUCUUAUCCAAAAGUCCCGGGUUCGAAUCAAGGCAGGGAUG
rnacentral:tRNA from 13 species